rnacentral:rRNA from 1 species
UGAACGCUAGCUACAGGCUUAACACAUGCAAGUCGAGGGCAGCAUGGUCUUAGCUUGCUAAGGCCGAUGGCGACCGGCGCACGGGUGAGUAACACGUAUCCAACCUGCCGUCUACUCUUGGACAGCCUUCUGAAAGGAAGAUUAAUACCUCAUAGCACAUAUUAUUCGCAUGAGUUUUAUGUUAAAGAGACUCGGUUACAGAUGAACAUGCGUUCCAUUAGCUGGUUGGCGGGGUAACGGCCCACCAAGGCAACGAUGGAUAGGGGUUCUGAGAGGAAGGUCCCCCACACUGGUACUGAGACACGGACCAGACUCCUACGGGAGGCAGCAGUGAGGAAUAUUGGUCAAUGGGCGAGAGCCUGAACCAGCCAAGUCGCGUGGAGGAAGACGGCCCUACGGGUUGUAAACUCCUUUUACCUGGGAAUAACGGGCGCUACGCGUAGCGCUGUGCAUGUACCGGGAGAAUAAGCAUCGGCUAAUUCCGUG